CUUACCUACGGGACGCAGCAGUGGGGAAUAUUGGGCAAUGGGCGCAAGCCUGACCCAGCAACGCCGCGUGAAGGAAGAAGGCUUUCGGGUUGUAAACUUCUUUUCUGAGGGACGAAGGAAGUGACGGUACCUCAGGAAUAAGCCACGGCUAACUACGUGCCAGCAGCCGCGGUAAUACGUAGGUGGCAAGCGUUAUCCGGAUUUAUUGGGUGUAAAGGGCGUGUAGGCGGGAAUGCAAGUCAGAUGUGAAAACUAUGGGCU
rnacentral:rRNA from 1 species